rnacentral:rRNA from 1 species
UAGCCUACGGGACGCAGCAGUGAGGAAUAUUGGUCAAUGGGCGGGAGCCUGAACCAGCCAAGUCGCGUGAGGGAAGACGGUCCUACGGAUUGUAAACCUCUUUUGCCGGGGAGCAACGGGGUCCUUGCGAGGUCCCAAUGAGAGUACCCGGAGAAAAAGCAUCGGCUAACUCCGUGCCAGCAGCCGCGGUAAUACGGAGGAUGCGAGCGUUAUCCGGAUUUAUUGGGCGUAAAGCGAGUGCAGGCGGUUCAAUAAGUCUGUUGUGGACGCCCUCGGCUCAACCGGAGAAUUGCA